rnacentral:rRNA from 1 species
ACGGAAGGCAGCAGUGGGGAAUAUUGGUCAAUGGGCGGAAGCCUGAACCAGCCAUGUCGCGUGCAGGACUACGGCCCUACGGGUCUUAAACUGCUUUUGCAAGGGGAUAAAGUGGGGCACGCGUGCCCCCUUGCAGGUACCUUGCGAAUAAGGAUCGGCUAACUCCGUGCCAGCAGCCGCGGUAAUACGGAGGAUCCGAGCGUUAUCCGGAUUUAUUGGGUUUAAAGGGUGCGUAGGCGGGCUGUUAAGUCAGCGGUGAAACCCCCGGGCUCAACCCGGGGACUGCCAUUGAAACUGGCGGCCUUGAGUACGUUGGGAGUGCGCGGAAUGUGUGGUGUAGCGGUGAAAUGCAUAGAUAUCACACAGAACACCGAUCGCGUAGGCAGCGCACUACGCCGCAACUGACGCUGAGGCACGAAGGCGCGGGGAUCGAACAGGAUUAGAUACCCUGGUA